CUGGUAAACGGAGUGAAGGGCGUAUUCUGCGUCUGGAGCCCAGCACUUUGUUCCCACGCCCUUCAGCAGCUGAGGAAACACAGACACACAGAGUCAACAUGAAGAACUCCCCCGACUCAGAGCGGUAACGGAUAAUCCCUGUGGAAAACCCGACCUCAGGUUCGACAUCAGCGCCGGCCGACGGAGCCAAAUCCAGGCUUAAUCCAGGCUUAAUCCAGGCUUCAGUGAGCGACCACGCACGAGCUUCUAACCAGGUUCUGAAAGUGCAGGAACUCUCUGUGCUUUUAUGAUUCUUUUACGAUUCUCUUAUGAUUCUUUUAUGAUUCUUUUACGAUUCUGCCACCAAACAACACAGUCUCACUCUGACGAGGUUCAUGUCAGGAUUAGGAUUAACGAGGAUGAGGAGGAAGAAGAAGGAGGGAUGGAAAAUAGAAAGUAGAGGAAGAGAAAAGAGAGACUGUGUGUGAGUGUGUCUGUGUGCGUGAGUGAAUGAGUGUGUGUGUGUGUGUGUGUGUCUGUGUGCGUGAGUGAAUGUGUGUGUGUGUGAGUGAGUGAGUGAAUUUGUGUUUUCAGUUAUUAUCAGUGGCUGUAAAUGAGAGCUGACAGAGGAGUGUGUUGUUAGUGUUCACAGUCAAAACACUGAUAACAAACACACACACACACAUGCACGUUCAUGUUGUUCAUAAGUGGAGCUGAUGAAUUGAUGAAAGAAUCUGAGGGAAUCAAACGACUCAGCAAUUUAUGAAGGAAAAAGUGCUGAGUCACAGCGACAAGUUUAAACAGGGAUGAAAGAGUGAAGUGAUUUCAGCUGUUAAUCACUUUGACCUUCAGUGAACAUGAAGUGAGUGAACGAAUGAGUGAAUGUUUUCGAUAUCACAAUGUUUUUUUUAAACAAAUGACAUCAUCAGCCGAGCUAAAGAGAAACAGCUGAUCAACAAUAUUGUGUGUUUAUAACAUGGUGAAGCUUUAAUAGUCGUCAGAAUCCUUUACAUCAUUAUUAUUAUUAUUAUUUUCUUACAAAGACAAAAACAGUUUAACAAAAUAGGAAUUCUUCACAUUAAAAAAAAAAUCUAAACAUAAA